CUGGGAGAAUCCUGGGCCCUCUUCAUCGAAGAUCCUCACAAAGAAGUUGACUCUAUCACUUGCCCUGGUUCUUUAACACACCGGCGGUGAAGCCACAGCCAACCCGCCUAAAGAAACUUGAAAGCGAACGAGUGAGUCAGAAGGAAGGCGACCUGCUCUGCUGGCUCCGCGGGGAUUGACCACCUGGACACCUGGUACCACUAGCGCUGGUGGGGAAAAAAGGACACCUUAGGAGCCCACCGGGCACGUGCUGGGCAAACAUUUACAGAUUGCGUGAGCGGGAGAUGAGGAAGGAGCCUGCCUGCGGCCACCCAGAGGGCCGGAGUUUACCCUCGUCCUCCGAAGGAGACUAGGACAGAGCUGCCGCCUGGGGCAGAGGGUGACAGUCUCCAAGAGGCCUGGGCGUCCCCUUCCCAGGCGGAGAAGGUUGUGACGCCAGUGGACCAGUACGACCACCGUUAGAGCUAUUAAAAAAAAAAAAUCAUGGGGGAGGCCAAGGAACUACCUGUCCUCGCCCCCACAAGGAAAACUGGCUAGGUUUUGGGGCCAAGCGGGCAGCACCGGUUGCUGGAUUGCUGCCCCUCUCCAGAGCAGAUACCCCAAAACUUUUUGCAUCACUGACAGGGGAAUAUUACUCGGUGCUCUUCCGGAAGGUUAAGACCAUUGUAAGAGUUCCUCCAAACUCACCUUUUAAGAUGUUCUUAAUGAGACUUCCGCCUUUCUGAAAGGACAACUUUUAAACUUGCUAACUCCUUUGACAUCCAACCAUUUCCCUCCUCUCUCGAACCCCUGACUUUCCAGGUUUUUGGCGGCUCUAGUGUUGGGGUUCGAACCAGGCUUGGACAGUUCUCCCAGUGGGAAUGUAAGGUCUGGCUUGGCAGGGGUGCAGGGCAGGCUCUGAAAGGCUAGCCCUCGCAGCUCAGAGCAGUUUUAGUGGUCAAGGAGGG